UCCAGGGUAGCUCAAUGGUAGAGCAGUCGGCUGUUAACCGGCGGGUUGCAGGUUCAAGUCCUGCCUCUGGAG
rnacentral:tRNA from 1 species